rnacentral:rRNA from 1 species
CAGUAGCCGCGGUAAUACGAAGGGGGCUAGCGUUGCUCGGAAUCACUGGGCGUAAAGGGUGCGUAGGCGGGUCUUUAAGUCAGGGGUGAAAUCCUGGAGCGCAACUCCAGAACUGCCUUUGAUACUGAAGAUCUUGAGUUCGGGAGAGGUGAGUGGAACUGCGAGUGUAGAGGUGAAAUUCGUAGAUAUUCGCAAGAACACCAGUGGCGAAAGCGGCUCACUGGCCCGAUACUGACGCUUAGGCACGAAAGCGUGGGGAGCAAACAGGAUUAGAUACCCCUGUAGUCCCUGUCUCUUAUAC